GACGAACGCUGGCGGCGUGCUUAACACAUGCAAGUCGAGCGGUAAGGCCCUUUCGGGGGUACACGAGCGGCGAACGGGUGAGUAACACGUGGGUGACCUGCCCUCAGCUCUGGGAUAAGCCUGGGAAACCGGGUCUAAUACCGGAUAUGACUCCAUGACGCAUGUUGUGGGGUGGAAAGCCUUGUGCGGCUGAGGAUGGGGCCCGCGGCCUAUCAGCUUGUUGGUGGGGUGAUGGCCUACCAAGGCGACGACGGGUAGCCGGCCUGAGAGGGCGACCGGCCACACUGGGACUGAGACACGGCCCAGACUCCUACGGGAGGCAGCAGUGGGGAAUCUUGCGCAAUGGGCGAAAGCCUGACGCAGCGACGCCGCGUGAGGGAU
rnacentral:rRNA from 1 species